rnacentral:tRNA from 1 species
CAUAGGGUAGUAUAACAAAUACCUUUUGCUUACACCAAAAAGCUGGUUACAUAAGCCCCCUUUGA